CCUACGGGUGGCUGCAGUAGGGAAUAUUGCUCAAUGGGGGAAACCCUGAAGCAGCAACGCCGCGUGGAGGAUGAAGGUUUUAGGAUUGUUAACUCCUUUUUUUAGAGAAGAUAUUGACGGUAUCUAUCGCAUAAUCACCGUCUCACUCCGUGCCAGCUGCCGCGGUACUACGGAGGGUGCAUGCGUUACUCGGAAUCUCUGGGCGUUAAGAGCGCGUAUGCGGGAUAGCAAGUGAGCUGUGGAAUCCUAUGGCUUAACCAUAGAACUGCAGUUGAAACUGUUAGUCUAGAGUAUGGGAGAGGUAGGUGGAAUACGUGGUGUAGGGGUAAAAUCCGUAGAGAUCAAGAAGAAUACUCAGUGCGAAGGCGACCUGCUAGAACAUAACUGACGCUGAUGCGCGAAAGCGUGGGGAGCGAACAGGAUUAGAUACCCCAGUAGUC
rnacentral:rRNA from 1 species